rnacentral:rRNA from 1 species
AAAGCACUUUUGGCAGGGAAGAAAAGGCUCUGGCUAAUACCCAGAAGCUGCUGACGGUACCUGCAGAAUAAGCACCGGCUAACUACGUGCCAGCAGCCGCGGUAAUACGUAGGGUGCAAGCGUUAAUCGGAAUUACUGGGCGUAAAGCGUGCGCAGGCGGUUAGGCAAGAAGGAUGUGAAAUCCCGGGGCUUAACCUCGGAACUGCAUUCUUAACUGCCAGGCUGGAGUAUGUCAGAGGGGGGUAGAAUUCCGCGUGUAGCAGUGAAAUGCGUAGAGAUGCGGAGGAAUACCGAUGGCGAAGGCAGCCCCCUGGGAUAAUACUGACGCUCAUGCACGAAAGCGUGGGGAGCAAACAGGAUUAGAUACCCUGGUAGUCCACGCCCUAAACGAUGUCAACUAGCUGUUGGGGCCUUCGGGCCUUAGUAGCGCAGCUAACGCGUGAAGUUGACCGCCUGGGGAGUACGGUCGCAAGAUUAAAACUCAAAGGAAUUGACGGGGACCCGCACAAGCGGUGGAUGAUGUGGAUUAAUUCGAUGCAACGCGAAAAACCUUACCUACCCUUGACAUGUCUGGAAUCCUGAAGAGAUUCGGGAGUGCUCGCAAGAGAACCGGAACACAG